rnacentral:tRNA from 1 species
GCGUUGUGGCUCAGUGGUAGUGCGCUCGCCUAGCAAGCGCGAUGCCCUGGGUUCAAUCCUCAGCAUCACACA